UACAGAGGCCCCAAGCGUUACUGAGAAUCACUGGGUUUAAAGGGUGCGUAGGUGGCGCGUUAAGUCCGUUGUGAAAUCCCUUGGCUCGAACCAAGGAAAUGCUUCGGAUACUGGCGUGCUUGAGGCUAGUAGGGGUCACUGGAACUGACGGUGGAGCGGUGAAAUGCGUAGAUAUCGUCAGGAACGCCGAUGGUGAAGACAGGUGACUGGGCUAGUUCUGACACUGAGGCACGAAAGCGUGGGGAGCGAACGGG
rnacentral:rRNA from 1 species